rnacentral:rRNA from 1 species
UACGUAGGGGGCAAGCGUUGUCCGGAAUUAUUGGGCGUAAAGCGCGUGUAGGCGGCUCGGUAAGUCUGCUGUGAAAGUCUAGGGCUCAACCCUGGAAUGCCGGUGGAUACUGUCGAGCUAGAGUCCGGAAGAGGCGAGUGGAAUUCCUGGUGUAGCGGUGAAAUGCGCAGAUAUCAGGAGGAACACCAGUGGCGAAGGCGGCCCCCUGGGCAGUAACUGACACUGAGGCGCGACAGCGUGGGGAGCAAACAGG